AUGCUCACGUUGAAACAUUGGUUCUAGUACGAUCACCGAAGUUAAGCAACGUCGAAUCUGGUCAGUACCUAGAUGGGUGACUGCUUGAGAAUACCAGAUGUUGUAAG